UACUCUCCUCACGUGUCCAGUGACGUACAGCUAGCCCGCCAUAGUACAGCGGUUUUAUGGCGCAGAAGCUACGGUAAGCGAUGUUAUAGAUUACGAAGCAGUUAAAUAACCAAUGACCAUAAAAACGGUAAUAGUGUUUCACAGGGUCAUGGGUGAACAAUAGUGGUGAAAUUCACGAAAGUGAUGUCGACGACGAGCUUCACGUGAGGAACAGAAACUACUGCUGCAGCGCAGCCUCGUUUUCCUGGUUCAUGGAAGGAGAACGUGCGGCAAUGACAUGCGCCCCAUCAAAAGCUCGAGUGGAAUUGUUAUGCGGGCCGACAACGCAGAGCCCUUUCAUCAGCAUCAUCGCCACCAACUGUUCACUACGUGGUGAAGACACAGGUGCGAACGACGAAUCUUGGAGCCUUUUCUUGUACUGUUACGUCUGUUGUUAUUCCUUGUUGCGAAAUAAACAUGUUCCUAUGAGAACUGUCA